GGCUUUGAACAGGAGCGUCCUGCACUCAUAGGACAGGCCGCUCUCCCACACACCGUCCUCCUCAGCUAGAUAGACAGACGGAGAAAGACAGGAUCUAUCCGCUGCCUUUGACUCUGUGAACCAUCAGAUCCUCCUCUCCACCCUCUCAGGGCUGGGUGUCUCAGGCUCUGCCCACUCUUGGUUUGCAUCCUACCUGGCAGGCCGCUCCUAACAGGUGGCAACACGCAUCUCUAUCUCAACUUGGAUGUCGACCCACCACCUCAAGCUUAACCUCAACGGAACUGUUCUUUCUCCCAGGGAAGGCCUGCCCGCUCAAAGACCUCUCCAUCACGGUUAACAACUCCAGAGUGUCGCCCUCCCAGAGUGCAAAGAACCUUAGUGACCCUGGAUAACACCCUAUCAUUCUCUCCAAACAUCAAAGCAGUGACCCGCUCCUGCAGGUUCAUGCUCUACAACAUCCGUAGAGUAUGACCCUACCUCACACAGGAAGAAGCCAGAUCAUAAUCCAGGCCCUUGUCUUCUCCCGUCUGGACUACUACAACUCGCUGUUGGCUGGGCCCCCCACUUGUGCCAUCAAACCCCUGCAACUUAUCCAGAACGCUGAAGCCUGCCUGGUUUUCAACCUUCCCAUGUUCUCUCAUGACACCCCGCUCCUCUGCACACUCCACUGGCUUCCAGUCAAAGCUCACAUCCACUACAAGAGCAUGGUGUUUACCUACAGAAAUGCAAGAGGAACUGCCCCUCCCUACCUUCAGGCUAACCCUACACCCCCAUCCGAGCAUACCAUCUGCCACCUCAGGUCUCUUGACCCUCCCACCUCUAUGGGAGGGCAGCUCCCGCUCAGCCCAGUCCAAGCUCUUCUCUGUCCUGACACCCCUAUGGGAGGGCAGCUCCCGCUCAGCCCAGCCCAAGCUCUUCUCUGUCCUGACACGCCUAUGGGAGGGCAGCUCCCAUUCAGCCCAGUCCAAGCUCUUCUCUGUCCUGACACCCCUAUGGGAGGGAGGCUCCCACUCAGACCAGUCCAAGCUCUUCUCUGUCCUGACACCCCUAUGGGAGGGAGGCUCCUGUUCAGCCCAGUCCAAGCUCUUCCCUGUCCUGACACCCGUAUGGUGGAACCAGCUUCCCCCUGAAGCUAAGACAGCAGAGUCCCUGCCCAUCUUCCAAAAACAUCUAAAACUCUGAAACAUCAAACACCCCCUUCUAGCUUAGACUCUAUUGAAAAAAAUGUACUUUCUAUGCCUGUGAUAUGUUUGUCCCACUUAGCUAUCUUAAGAUGAAUGCACUAACUGCAAACACACACACACACACACAGGUGUUUGUGGGCCCAUUCCAGCAGUGUUUGUUUGUGCUAAGAGGUGAAUGUAAGAGGGCAUGGUUUUGGAGGUGGUCAGUCCCUCCAGUCACAGGUGUCUAUGCUCUGGUAAUUAAAGCUGCAGUCGGUAGCUCAUUAAACACCAAGAUUAAUGUCUUGUGAUCCACAGGGCUCCAGGGGAUUUUUCUAUCCAGGCUAGGUAGAGGAGCUUUUCCUCCCUCUUUCUCUGUCUCUCUUCCCCCUCUCCUUCUCUCCUUCCCACUCUUCCCAUCCAUCCACAAGCAGCCAAGAGAGAUGGACCUGUAGUGGUGCUGCUUGCUCCACAAAGUCUCUAUUAAUAAUGAAUGAACAUUUCAAGAGCAGAGUAAGGGGAGAGAGCGCACCCGCCCGACUAGCACCCAGGCCUCCAGAGCCGGAGCUUUAUUUAAGUUGAAAAAUGUUGGAGAACAAAGACAUUUAGGAGCACAAUAAAUUAUAUUUCAGAUAUUAAAAGCUCGAAUCCUACAUUUUUCUAGGCGCACUUGUGCUCCUAAAUUAAAAUUCCAGGUUGCACAGCAAAAUAUUUUGGCGCAUAUGCAAGUAAAAUGGUCGCACUGUAGAGCCAUGUGGCCGCGUCCCUCCCAGUCCCCAGCCUAAUCUGUGAUGCACUGCACCAGGCCCACAGCCCCCCAGCCAGCCAUCAGAGUACA